UGGGGAAUUUUCCGCAAUGGGCGAAAGCCUGACGGAGCAAUACCACGUGGGGGAAGACGGCCUUUGGGUUGUAAACCUCUUUUCUCUGGGAAGAAGAUCUGACGGUACCAGAGGAAUCAGCAUCGGCUAACUCCGUGCCAGCAGCCGCGGUAAUACGGAGGAUGCAAGCGUUAUCCGGAAUUAUUGGGCGUAAAGGGUCCGCAGGUGGUUUAUCAAGUCUGUUGUCAAAGCGUGGAGCUUAACUCCAUAUCGGCAAUGGAAACUGAGUAACUAGAGUACAGUAGGGGUUGCGGGAAUUCCCAGUGUAGCGGUGAAAUGCGUAGAUAUUGGGAAGAACACCGGCGGCGAAAGCGCGCAACUGGGCUGAGACUGACACUGAGGGACGAAAGCUAGGGGAGCGAAAGGGAUUAGAUACCCCUGUAGUCCUAGCCGUAAACGAUGGACACUAGGUGUUGCGCGUAUCGACCCGUGCAGUGCCGUAGCUAACGCGUUAAGUGUCCCGCCUGGGGAGUACGCACGCAAGUGUG
rnacentral:rRNA from 1 species